rnacentral:rRNA from 1 species
GGCUCAGGAUGAACGCUAGCUACAGGCUUUAACACAUGCAAGUCGAGGGGCAGCGGGAUUGAAGCUUGCUUCAAUUGCCGGCGACCGGCGCACGGGUGAGUAACGCGUAUCCAACCUUCCGUACACUCAGGGAUAGCCUUUUCGAAAGAAAGAUUAAUACCUGAUGGUAUGAUGAGAUUGCAUGAUAGCAUCAUUAAAGAUUUAUCGGUGUACGAUGGGGAUGCGUUCCAUUAGGCAGUUGGCGGGGUAACGGCCCACCAAACCAACGAUGGAUAGGGGUUCUGAGAGGAAGGUCCCCCACAUUGGAACUGAGACACGGUCCAAACUCCUACGGGAGGCAGCAGUGAGGAAUAUUGGUCAAUGGACGAGAGUCUGAACCAGCCAAGUAGCGUGAAGGAUGACUGCCCUAUGGGUUGUAAACUUCUUUUAUACGGGAAUAAAGUUAGCCACGUGUGGCUUUUUGUAUGUACCGUAUGAAUAAGGAUCGGCUAACUCCGUG